rnacentral:rRNA from 1 species
ACGCUCGACACCUACGGGAGCAGCAGUAGGGAAUCUUCCACAAUGGGCGCAAGCCUGAUGGAGCAACACCGCGUGAGUGAAGAAGGGUUUCGGCUCGUAAAGCUCUGUUGUUGGAGAAGAACGUGCGUGAGAGUAACUGUUCACGCAGUGACGGUAUCCAACCAGAAAGUCGCGGCUAACUACGUGCCAACAGCCGCGGUAAUCUGAGCGGGCUGGCAAGGC